rnacentral:rRNA from 1 species
GAUGAACGCUGGCAGUGUGCCUUAGACAUGCAAGUCGAACGAAGCAAUUUGAAGUUUACUUUGAUGCGCUUAGUGGCGAACGGGUGAGUAACACGUGGGUGAUCUGCCCUGAAGUACGGCAUAACAGUGGGAAACUGCUGCUAAUUCCGUAUGUGCUCUUGUCUUUUGUGACCUGAGUAAAGAUUUAUCGCUUCAGGAUGAGCCCGCGGUACAUCAGCUAGUUGGUGGGGUAAAGGCCUACCAAGGCGACGACGUAUAGCCGACCUGAGAGGGUGACCGGCCACAGGGGUACUGAGACACGGACCCCACUCCUACGGGAGGCAGCAGUUAGGAAUCUUCCACAAUGGGCGCAAGCCUGAUGGAGCGACACUGCAUGAGGGAUGACGGCCCUAGGGUUGUAAACCUCUGAACCAGGGACGAUAAUGACGGUACCUGGGUAAUAGCACCGGCUAACUCCG